ensembl:lincRNA
AUGAAAAACACGGCAGGUUCUCCGUGCCUGCUCCAGCGACCCCGGGCUCUAUGCACUGACCCCGGAGCCUUCUCGGCCUCCCAGGCACGGAGGCCUAUUUCCCUGUGUCCAGGCCUGCAGAGGCUGGAGGGGGGCCCUGGGCAGACGACCUUAGUUGCACAAGGCUUCGUAGGUGUCAGGCAGUUGAGAAUCUCGAGAGGAGGAGGCCAUCCUGGACUAUGCAGGGAGGGGAGAGGGAGGAGAGGGAGGGAGGGAGGGAGGGGGCCCCAGAGCCCCCCGGACCCUGCGGGGCUCCUCAGGCCUUCCUGGCCCGAUUUCUCAUUCACAGGGCUCCCCAGAGGCCGGUGUCCUCGCCCCCACAUCCCAGGGAGGAGCUCUGAGAGCCGGAGGCCAGCACUCGCCGCCCGAGGUCCAGGGCUGGCGAUCCCUGCCACUGGGCCGCAGCUGAGCCUGGGGUUCCGGGGCUGGCCUGGUCCUGGGCACCAAGUGCAGGACGCACCUUGGACGCAGGUCUGCAGCCCCUUCCCUGGGCAGCCGGAGGGAACCUCAGGGCUGCCCCACGGCUGUGGGUGAGUGCGGAGGCAGCUCCAACCACUCAGCCUGCAGAACGGGAGCUCCCCCAAACCUCCUGGAUCUGCUGGGCAGUGAACCCCUGGGAGGCAAGCAGAUCACCGGAUAACGGGGGGGGGGGGGGGGGGGGAAAGGGAAGCCGUUUGUCCUGGGGGGCUUCCCCAGGAAGGGGGGGCUUUCCCAGCCAGCCAAGGACCCUGGGAGGCUGGGUGGCCCCUUCGGGUGGCAGGGGGAAUGAGAGAGCCCACAAGCGAGCCGCGCUUAGGGCCUGUCGUGGACGCUGAGACAAUGACCCGUCGCUUAAAAAAAUCGGUGAGCAGACCUCACAGCAGAAGAAGGGAAGGGUGGGCGCUGGGUCCCGGUGCAAAGCUGGCGCACACCUGGCCUGCCUACGCUCCGCCAGGCACCCUGGCAGACAUAAGGCCACGGACGGCCAGGGGCGCUCAGAACCCUGGAUGCUGGCGAGGCCCCGCCACGCUAAUGCUCAGGGGGGGACCAGGUGGGGCCCUGGAGAGGCCCAGGGGCGGCGCCGGGGUGAGGCAGGGCUGGGCACGAGGGUCUCAGUCGCUACAGGCGUCCUGGAGCCCAGAGGGAAAUAAACAGUUUCCAAAGGACUCUUCAUUUUAAUCAGUCGUGGGCGGGUCAGGGGAUGCUUCUGGGGUCACCCACCAUGAGGCAUUGUUUGCAAGGAUCUGGGCAAAUCGAUCCCCUUUUUUCCUUCCUGAAGGCAAAUCUGGGCUCAGGUUCAGGCGUGGCCACGAUGGAUGCGCUGGUACUUGGACUGAAAGUCCCUCGCUCGCUCUGAUGCUCACCUUCCUUAUCUGUAAGGGGCAGAAAUGACCGUGUGCUUUACCGCUGUGUGUGACCUGGCGCGAGAGUGGCUCUGAAGCAGCCGUCGCACAGGUCUGGCUGGUGCUCCUGGCUGGUGCUGUCUCCGCUGGACUCCCAGCUGUGGCCAGGCGUCACAGUCACCCUCCCCCCGUCCUGGGUGGACAGGGCAGGGUGCUCAGAUUAGGGGUUGUUUUCUGAGUUUCUCAGUGGGCUAGAAACUGACCUCCCCAACGAAGUCCAGGCACUGAUGAACCCACCUUGGUCUCAAGCUUUCCCGUUACUGUGAGGUCAGCUCUCCGGGGGACAUGGUGUCCCUUGACUAUCAGCUCUUGGGGGACCGGAUGCCUGUCCUGAGUUCCAGGUGUCAGAAGGCCUGGCGAGCCAGCACAGAGGCAUCUGCGGCCCUCGGAAGAGCUCUCUGUGUCGCGGGGAAACGGAGCCCGGAGGUAGCAUUGUCUUCUGACAACCAGACCCCUGGCCCACGGUAGCACCCCACGUCUUCAGGAGAAGCUGGCCUCCCCCUAGUGGUGGGGGGGUGCGUUCUGGGGGCCAGGUGGGGCUGGGGGCUCAGGGAGCGUCUGGUGCAGUUUCUCUCACGAAGGUUCACCAAGGACCAGCUCCAGCUGACCGGCGCAUGAAUUACAGACCUACAUACCUGUUCACACAGCGCACACCCACCCAGACCACAGAUGUGAUUUAUGCAGGCUGCAAAACAGCAAGAAAGAACUAUCCAAGAAAGAACUAUCCAAACCAGAGAGAACAUUUCACUUUGUGCGUUUCGUCCUUUACCUGAGCGGUGCUGAAUACCUCCGAGAGCACGUGGGCAGAUGUGGGCCCCCCAGGGUAGCCCCAGUGACCUAUGGCCGGCGUGAGAGGCAGCACAUGGCGGUGCCCGCAGACCCAACCUCUCCCCUCCUCCCCUCCCUCCCUGUUGGAACUGAAGGGCGUUUGCGGAAUUUCACCUUCAGUCUGGGAGCUGGAGGCGGAGGUCCCAACACUGCUUCAGCGUCAUUGGCUGAACCGUCUGUUCAAAGCAGAGGGGAUGGCUUGGGUUCUGAAAAGCCCCCUGACUCAUCUUCCCUCCACUUUAAAAACUAGCACCGUUGCUCUUCUGGGAAGGGGUCUGAGGGAGGCUUCAGCAGACUUUUGAGGGGGCGGGGUGGAUAUUUCUGGGCUGGGGGAACCAAACGGAAGGGGCUGCGGCCACCCACCGCAGCCUGUAGGCUCCAGGGAGACCUCUCUGAGGCUUAAUGGCGUGAAGGAAGAGAGGCAGUACGCCACGGUGGUCUGGGGCAGCAGGGUCCCUAGCCCUCAUCCUCUGCGGCUGUCACCUCCCAAACACGUGUCUCCUUGGCUUCCCUUUUUGCUGGCAGAGGGGUCUCCACGCAGGAGGAGAGAGGGGGGAGGGGUGCUGGCGACCUCCGCCUGAUUAAUAUCCCAGAUGUGUGAUCUCCAAGCUCCCCCCGAGGACUUCUCGGGAGUCCAGACCUCAGCGUGGGCACGGAUGCCCAGCCUGCCAUGCGGGAAGGUGGACAGCGGGUCGUGGGUAGGGGUGGACGCGCCUGCUGCAGUCUUGGGCGCCCCGAUCUGGCUGGAUUGGAAGUCCAGUCUCCACCCAGAAGAGGAGCUCUCAACUCCAAGCACGUGAAAAAAGCUAGGCGGGGUGAGAUGCAACUUUUUUUAACUCCAAUUGCUCGAACUCAGGGCGCCUCCACACUGGUUCUG